AACGAACGCUGGCGGCAGGCGUAACAGAUGCAAGUCGAACGAAUCCUCCGGGGUGAGUGGCGGACGGGUGAGUAACGCGUGGGAACGUGUCCUUCAGUUCGGGAUAACCCAGGGAAGCUUGGGCUAAUACCGGAUACGGGCGAGGGCAGAAAGAUUUAUCGCUGAAGGAUCGUCCCCCGUCUGCUUAGGCAGUUGGCGGGAGAAUGGCCCAGCAAGGCGACGAUCAGUAGCUGGUCUGAGAGGAUGAACGGCCACAUUGGGACUGACGCACGGCCCAAACUCCUACGGGAGGCAGCAGUGAGGAAUAUUGAACAAUGGGCGCAAGCCUGAUCCAGCCAUGCCGCGUGAGUGCUGAAGGCCUUAGGGUUGUAAAGCUCUUUCGUCCGGGACGAUAAUGACGGUACCGGAAGAAGAAGCCCCGGCUAACUUCGUGCCAGCAGCCGCGGUAA
rnacentral:rRNA from 1 species